UGCAAGUCGAACGGUGAAAGAGGAGCUUGCUCCUCUGGAUCAGUGGCGAACGGGUGAGUAACACGUGAGUAACCUGCCCCAGACUCUGGGAUAAGCACUGGAAACGGUGUCUAAUACCGGAUACGAGCUUCAGCCGCAUGGCUAGGAGCUGGAAAGAAUUUCGGUCUGGGAUGGACUCGCGGCCUAUCAGCUAGUUGGUGAGGUAAUGGCUCACCAAGGCGACGACGGGUAGCCGGCCUGAGAGGGUGACCGGCCACACUGGGACUGAGACACGGCCCAGACUCCUACGGGAGGCAGCAGUGGGGAAUAUUGCACAAUGGGCGCAAGCCUGAUGCAGCAACGCCGCGUGAGGGACGACGGCCUUCGGGUUGUAAACCUCUUUUAGUAGGGAAGAAGCGAAAGUGACGGUACCUGCAGAAAAAGCACCGGCUAACUACGUGCCAGCAGCCGCGGUAAUACGUAGGGUGCAAGCGUUAUCCGGAAUUAUUGGGCGUAAAGAGCUCGUAGGCGGUUUGUCGCGUCUGCUGUGAAAACUGGAGGCUCAACCUCCAGCCUGCAGUGGGUACGGGCAGACUAGAGUGCGGUAGGGGAGAUUGGAAUUCCUGGUGUAGCGGUGGAAUGCGCAGAUAUCAGGAGGAACACCGAUGGCGAAGGCAGAUCUCUGGGCCGUAACUGACGCUGAGGAGCGAAAGCAUGGGGAGCGAACAGGAUUAGAUACCCUGGUAGUCCAUGCCGUAAACGUUGGGAACUAGAUGUAGGGACCAUUCCACGGUUUCUGUGUCGCAGCUAACGCAUUAAGUUCCCCGCCUGGGGAGUACGGCCGCAAGGCUAAAACUCAAAGGAAUUGACGGGGGCCCGCACAAGCGGCGGAGCAUGCGGAUUAAUUCGAUGCAACGCGAAGAACCUUACCAAGGCUUGACAUAUACCGGGAAAAGUUCAGAAAUGUUCUCCCCGCAAGGUCGGUAUACAGGUGGUGCAUGGUUGUCGUCAGCUCGUGUCGUGAGAUGUUUGGGUUAAGUCCCGCAACGAGCGCAACCCUCGUUCUAUGUUGCCAGCACGUAAUGGUGGGAACUCAUAGGA
rnacentral:rRNA from 1 species